CGCAACUCGCCUUGUGGGGUUUUAUGGAACUGCCCACUGUUGAAGGAUUCUCAGGAAGAUGUUUUGGUAUCCGACAUUGGUUAAUAUUAACGGUAGUUCUCUUUAUUUUUGCAGGUACACGAGUGCGAGUCUUACAAGGGACUAGGUGACGCUACUUCGCCAUUUCUCUUACUCUAGUGAGUAUAUAGGUAACUUACUUCAGGGAACUUCAUGAGCGCAGUGUGGUGCUCCUGUGAACUAUAUCCCCACAGCCUAACGGCUCGUAGCGACAUCUACCACACUCGUAUUCAUAAGAAUGCCUCAUAAACCUUACGCUCAUGUCGCAACAACACGACAUGAUUAUUUGCUACUUGUCCCACAUGUAGCAUAAAUAACUAUUACAACGAGCAUCAUAUCAUUAUUUGGUCGUAAUCAAGACCAAACUACAACAGUAUGUCUCACCAAACAAGAGUGUCUCAGCAAACCGGAAGUGCAAGGCUUUUGUAGCAAACAAAAGGCUGUGGAAUCGAAGAAGGCGGAAGUUCUCAAUCGCGUAGCAUGCAACCAUUUAAUCACAAUGGCGCAAGAGAAACAGAUAAACGAAGAAAUGCACGACUCAGAGUGGCCGGAGGACGAACUCCUGGAUAUGACCGGCCUUAAUCUAGACCACGAGGUCGAUGAGAGUCGGCCAUAUCCAGGUGGAUUACCGAAAGACGUCCACCCGGUUCAAGAUAUGUAUUUUAUUCGUUACGUUCAAUUAAGUGUCCUAAAUGUAUUACAGUCGGCAAUUAUUGUCAUUCACUCCAUUCGCAUUUGUUCGCGCACUACUUCAUGGCAUCAUGGAUGCACCUGGGGCGCAAAAAAGUUCGCAAAGCACAUCAAGUCUAACUACUCUCUAAGUAUCUUUGAGGAAGACAAAAAAUUAACUGAGAAUGGGAGAAAAAGGAUGUGAAUCAACUAUCGUGCCAAGUACAUGUAAUUCUGCAUCGUGCCUCAUGGUAUAUCUCGGAUUCGUUACAGAAAAAUAGCACCCACUCAGGUGUGACCCUUUCACGUAGCUGCGGAUGCGAUCGAAUUUUGAAUUACUUAUACGUUAAUAAAGAUGGCCAAUAUCUAAUGCUAAUUACAUGAUUACGGUAGAAUAAUUUUUCAAUCCAAUAGAGCAAGCGCAGCCAGCGGCACCAUCCCCCACCGGAGACGAGGCGGCCCAAACAAAGAGCGAUGGCAGCGAAGCGCCCGCCGCGGGAGCAGCAGCGGACAUGCAGAAGCCAAGGGGCAAGCAGGGCAGGCAGUGGUCCCAGUCCCGCAAACGGGAGGCCCUGGACACCCGGAUGAUACUAAACUUCGUCAAGCUGAGUCAUCCGUACAAGGGUGGCCAGGGCCACAACCGCAAAAAGGGGCACGGUGGUGGCCGCGGAGGACAAGGUGGCGGGGGGCGGGGCGCGAACAACGCAUAGAACAUAGCCAAUAAA